GACGGGGGAUGCAAGUGUUAUCCGGAAUCACUGGGCGUAAAGCGUCUGCAGGUGGUUUCCUAAGUCCACUGUUAACCUUGAGGCUCAACCUCAAAUCUGCAUUGGAAACUAGGAGACUUGAGUAUAGUAGGGGUAAAGGGAAUUUCCAGUGGAGCAGUGAAAUGCGUAGAGAUUGGAAAGAACACCGAUGGCGAAGGCACUUUACUGGGCUAUUACUAACACUCAGAGACGAAAGCUAGGGUAGCAAAUGGG
rnacentral:rRNA from 1 species